AACUCAUAACCUGAAUAUAUCCUGUGGGAUCAAACCACUGACCCUUCCAGGAUGGAAGAGACCUCAGGUAGUCAACUUCCAUCAAGUGGCCUAUUGGUUUCAUUGAGGAAUGUGCCACAUCAGGGCUCAGUGUCAGUCUCUGUUGCAGAUAUAUCGGACAUCCGACAAUGGCAGCUGCUGGAUCAGUCUUGAAACUUCACAUUGAAGCAACUCUUGGAGAUUUUCAGACACUGAAAGCACAAAGGAUAAAAUGUUGCAAGCCAAUCCAGUCUUAGAAAGGAGAACAAUUUAUCAAGUCCGAGAAAAGAUGCCCUCUCCAUGUCAUAAGUUACACAACAAGAAGGAGGUUUUGGGGAGUCUUUCACAUCCUCCCUAGGUUGGUCCCAUUCCACUGCUGCUAUCCAUCUUCAAGCCUUACCAAGUCCCAAUAGCAUCUGAAUAAACUGUUAAAGAUCAGGGAAUCCUGGAUUAAAUGCUCCAAUAAGGUUUCUGAAUUCCUUAGUACAUUUCCAGGGAGUUUUCUUGGGGUUAGGGAGGUCAUUUACAAUGUCUCUAAGCUCAAUUUUAGACCAUGGAGUAGAGUUGAUUAUGGCAGGCAUGCCUGCCUAAUCAGAGGGUCUCAUUUUGCAAGCAUUUACCUAACUUUCCUUUUUUCAUUGUCUUCAGAGUGAAAGGAUAGCUGGGC